rnacentral:lncRNA from 1 species
UAAAGUUUUUUUAAACUUACCACGAAAAGAUAAAUAUAAAUUUUUUGUUCAAAUUUCAAUUCUCUGCGAAUAUUUUUAACUGAAUUACAAAAAAUAAAAAAUUAAGAUAGUAAGAGCAAUAAUUUAAUAAAGUUCACGUUUUUCUUAAGUUUUAUCUUAGUUUUUCCUAAACAUUAUAAAAUCCGCCUGGAAAAUCAAAAAUAACAUCAUAAUAAACCAAUACAUUUCUCAUUCCACUCUAAAUUUCAUGUUUUAGAUUUUAAGUCAAAUGAGUCUUUUGGUAGAGUAAAAAUAAUGAAAUCACAGUUAUUAUUAUUCAUGUUAUAAUCAAAGGCAUAUAAUACCGUUAAAACUAAUACUACAGUUUAGACAACAGAAUACUCUAGACAAAUACUAUCCUGAUUCGUGGUAUCUACACACAGUGCCAGUAUAUUGUAUUAAAUUAAUUAGUUGCAUUUAUAAAUAAGCAAAUAUAUAUUUAGGUGCGAUAUUUAAAAUUAAAUUAAAAUUGACUGUAAUAAAUAUGGUAUAAUAUAAAUGUAGUAAAUAGAAAUACAGCCUGUAUAUUAUUAACCAUUUUGUAUUAAAUUAUUUAGUCGGAAUGUUAAAUAACUAAAUUAACAAACAGUAAUUUUAUUUAAAAUAAUUUAAAUUUUCUUUUUCUAGCGAAUACUAGUAAAAAAUUCGAGAAUAUGCCACGUAAGUGAUUAUUUUUAUUAAUAUGACAUGCAUUUUUUAAAGUAAAUAGGUAACUGAAUAAAAACUAUAUACAGGGUGAUUCACUAAGCGAACUCUAUGAGUAGAUAUCUUGCAAAAUUAAAAUAUCUGUAAAUUGCUAAAAAAUUGUUAAAACUGUGUUUAAAAUUUCACCACAUCUAAAAAAUCUUCAUGUAAAUUUUUGUUUAAAUUUUAUGUCUAUAAAAUCGAUACAAAUAUUUUUUAUUUAAUUUUAACAAAAAUAUUAAAAUUUGUAUACAAAACUUAAAAAUUGAUCAAAUGAUAUGAAAAUUGUACAUGUUUAGAAUAAGUAAAUGUAAGUUUUCUGUUUAAAUUUAAAAUCUUUAAAGAUAUUUUUAACCAAAUUGGAAACAAUAACAAAUAGAUGUAUUUGUAUUUUUUACACCCCAAAUAAUUCUGAAACCAAGAUUUUUCUCUCUUUUUUCCAGUAAAUUUUUGCAAAAUAUACAAAAUCCAAACUAUCUACCUUAAAGUAUUUUCCAGUCAAAUUGGUUUUCAGAAAAAGUUCUACCAUUGUAAAUCCAAGUAAAACUACAUGUAAAAAGUAUUUAUAGAAAAAAAAAAAAGGUCAUAAAAUUUAACUAUACAUUCGUAAAUAUAAAUCAUAAUUUUAACCUCUACGUCAUAGUUUAGGGUUUUUUAAGUUUAAAAUGUAUGGAGUAGAACGAUUAUUUUCAUGUCUUAUUUUGUAUCAUACUUAGCUUAAUAAAAUUGCAGUCAGUCGAGAAGGUUUUUUACUAGGUAUGACUUAUAACAAUGAAUCUUCCACAUUUUAUCGAUCCUUUUUUUUCUAAUCUUUAUUAACUCUUUUCAUUUAUUAAGUUACAUUCUUACAAUUUAUCAGGUAUUAACCAAAGUGUUAGUAAAUGAGUAUAUUAGUUGUAUAGUUAGAUUAGGUAUAUUUUUAGUAUUUAUUCCUGUGAAUAAUGUAAAAAACAAAAUUGGUUAUCUUUAUUAUCGUUAGAGAUGUUAUAAUACAAUAACUAGGUAUAUCUUAGUGAGACUCUGUAUUAUUUAUAACCAGUGUAGACUAAAUGUUGAUUUAUUAAAACUAACAGGUCCACGUGAAGGACAAACAGUAACUGGUAAGUUUUUAUUUUUCUUUAAUACCGUGUUUUUUUCAAAGUUUGAUUAUAUUUUUUAGAUGCUGUUGUUGCGCAUGUCUUUAACACUUCAAGUAAAUUAUAACUAUAUAUUUUUAAGUAUAUUUUAUUUAACUGAUGAAAAUAAUUAAAUUUAAUCUCACAAUUCAAACCG